rnacentral:rRNA from 1 species
ACGCUGGCGGCAGGCCUAACACAUGCAAGUCGAGCGGUAGCACAGGAGAGCUUGCUCUCUGGGUGACGAGCGGCGGACGGGUGAGUAAUGUCUGGGAAACUGCCUGAUGGAGGGGGAUAACUACUGGAAACGGUAGCUAAUACCGCAUGACCUCGCAAGAGCAAAGUGGGGGACCUUCGGGCCUCACGCCAUCGGAUGUGCCCAGAUGGGAUUAGCUAGUAGGUGGGGUAAUGGCUCACCUAGGCGACGAUCCCUAGCUGGUCUGAGAGGAUGACCAGCCACACUGGAACUGAGACACGGUCCAGACUCCUACGGGAGGCAGCAGUGGGGAAUAUUGCACAAUGGGCGCAAGCCUGAUGCAGCCAUGCCGCGUGUGUGAAGAAGGCCUUAGGGUUGUAAAGCACUUUCAGCGAGGAGGAAGGGUUCAGUGUUAAUAGCACUGUGCAUUGACGUUACUCGCAGAAGAAGCACCGGCUAACUCCGUGCCAGCAGCCGCGGUAAUACGGAGGGUGCAAGCGUUAAUCGGAAUUACUGGGCGUAAAGCGCACGCAGGCGGUUUGUUAAGUCAGAUGUGAAAUCCCCGAGCUUAACUUGGGAACUGCAUUUGAAACUGGCAAGCUAGAGUCUUGUAGAGGGGGGGUAGAAUUCCAGGUGUAGCGGUGAAAUGCGUAGAGAUCUGGAGGAAUACCGGUGGCGAAGGCGGCCCCCNGGACAAAGACUGACGCUCAGGUGCGAAAGCGUGGGGAGCAAAC